rnacentral:lncRNA from 1 species
UGUGAACAUGCACACCUAGUGCAUCCACUCUGGGUAGUAAUUCCUGAGGCUAAACUGUGGGGCCAGGCCAAGGCUGAGAAGAGGCCAGGAAGUGGAUACUGGGAUCAUCCUACAGCUAAAACCAACUUUCCAUGACCAGGAACUCACAGUGGGUUAAAGGUGAAAGGUGAAGAGGCAGAGAUAAAGAGAUUGAACUUGAUCAGCAUGAUCAAAAGGGAA